GAUGAACGCUAGCGAUAGGCCUAACACAUGCAAGUCGAGGGGCAGCAUAGAGUAGCAAUACUUUGAUGGCGACCGGCGCACGGGUGAGUAACACGUAUGCAACCUACCUACAUCAGGGGAAUAACCCGGAGAAAUUCGGACUAAUACCGCAUAAUACAGGGAUGCCGCAUGGCAAUAUUUGUUAAAGAUUUAUCGGAUGUAGAUGGGCAUGCGUUCCAUUAGCUAGUUGGUGAGGUAACGGCUCACCAAGGCAACGAUGGAUAGGGGAACUGAGAGGUUUGUCCCCCACACUGGAACUGAGACACGGACCAGACUCCUACGGGAGGCAGCAGUGAGGAAUAUUGGUCAAUGGACGAGAGUCUGAACCAGCCAAAUCGCGUGAAGGAAGACUGCCCUACGGGUUGUAAACUUCUUUUGUACAGGAAUAAAAGACAUUACGUGUAAUGUAUUGCAUGUACUGUACGAAUAAGCAUCGGCUAACUCCGUGCCAGCAGCCGCGGUAAUACGGAGGAUGCGAGCGUUAUCCGGAUUUAUUGGGUUUAAAGGGUGCGCAGGCGGGA
rnacentral:rRNA from 1 species